rnacentral:rRNA from 1 species
GUACACGCUGUGACUAGCAUAUCAAUAAGCGGAGGAAAAGAAACUAACAAGGAUUCCCCUAGUAACGGCGAGUGAAGCGGGAAGAGCUCAAAUUUGAAAUCUUAAAGGGUUUCCCUUUACGAAUUGUAGUUUAAAGAAGUGUUUUCUGUUGAGGUUUUGGUAAAAGUUCUUUGGAAUAGGACAUCAUAGAGGGUGAGAAUCCCGUAUUUGACCUUUACUUUCAACUUUGUGAUACACUUUCAAAGAGUCGGAUUGUUUGGGAAUGCAGUCCAAAAUGGGUGGUAAAUUUCAUCUAAAGCUAAAUAUUGGCGAGAGACCGAUAGCGAACAAGUACCGUGAGGGAAAGAUGAAAAGAACUUUGAAAAGAGAGUUAAACAGUACGUGAAAUUGUCAAAAGGGAAGCGUUUGACACCAGUGUUGUUUUUCUGAAAAUCAACUAAAGAACUGUUUAUGCUAAGUUGUUUAGACUUUAUCAGCUAACUGUUUAGUUUUGAGCUUUUCUUUAAUGCACUUUUCAGUUAACAAGUCAACAUCAAUUUCUUUUGCUGUAAAAAAGCUUGAGGAAGGUGGCUUGAGAUUCGUCUUAAGUGUUUAUAGCCUCUUGCCUAUGCAGUCGGAGAGAUUGAGGUCUGCAGCGUAGAUCCUUCGGGGCUAAAUGCAUUUGUGCUAAGUUAUAGCAUUUUAUAGACAACUUGUUGACUAUGAUUUGUCUUGUAGCUUACUCGCUUAUGCUAUUUUACCUACGCUUAGGAUGUUGACAGCAGUAUAGACUGU